AUGAAGCACAUGAUAGCGUUGCAGCUUUUACCCUACGUUCUCUUCCUAACGGUCUUGCUAGCCAUGUCGGCGACCAGCCACGCGGCGGCCCUGCGUCUCGACCUCACGCACGCCGACAGCGGCCGCGGCUUCACCAGGGGCGAGCUCCUCCGCCGGAUGGCCGCUCGGUCACGUGCCCGCAUAAACAGCCGGUGGUCACCACCCGGCCGUGGCGCCAACGCCCACGCGGUGACGGUGCCCGCGGCCCGCGGCACCGUCGGCAAAGAGGACUUUAACUCCGAGUACCUCAUCCACUUUGGCAUCGGCACGCCGCGCCCGCAGCAUGUGGCGCUGACGCUCGACACCGGCAGCGACCUCAUCUGGACGCAGUGCUUCUGCCAGGUCUGCUUCCCGCAGCCGUUCCCAGAGCUGGACACCUCCGCCUCCGGCACAGCCCACGGCGUCUCCUGCUUCGACCCCCUGUGCGCGCAGGGGGGCUUCUCGCUCUCCGGGUGCGCCGUCGGCGACAACUCCUGCUUCUACACCGACUCCUACGGUGACAACUCGGUCACGACGGGGAAGCUGUACGAAGACACCUUCACCUUCCAACAGGCGCCCAACGGCAAGGCCGCCGUCGUGCCCAACCUCCGCUUUGGUUGCGGCAUGUUCAACACCGGCAACUUCGGAUCAAACGAGUCCGGCAUCGCCGGCUUCGGCCGCGGGGCAUUGUCUCUGCCGUCACAACUCAAGAUCGGCAGGUUCUCCCACUGCUUCACCACCAUCGUGGAGUCCAGGCCCAGCCCCGCGUUCCUGGGCACGCCGGACAACCUCGAAGCGCAUUCCACGGGGCCCAUCCAAUCCACGCCGUUGGUGCGAAACCCCGAAUCCAAUCACUACUACCUUUCGCUCAAGGGCAUCACCGUGGGCAAGAGGCGGCUGCCGUUCGACGCGUCGGCGUUCGCGCUCAAGGGCGACGGCUCCGGCGGGACGAUCAUCGACUCCGGCUCGGCCCUGACGAGCGUCCCGGAGGCCGUGUACCAGAGCCUCGUGGAGGCGUUCGAGUCGCAGGUGCCGCUGCCUGUCAACAAAAACAACACCGACGAGCACGAUGGCUUGCUGUGCUUCACCGUCUCGCCGAAGAAGAAGGAGACCGCCAUGCCGAAGCUGAUCCUCCACCUGGAGGGCGCGGAGUGGGAGCUUCCACGGGAGAACUACGUGCUGUACACCGAGGAGGACGGGCUGUGCGUGGUGAUAAGUUCCGCGGGCGAGGACAGCAGGUCGCUCAUCGGCAACUUCCAGCAGCAGAACACGCACAUCAUCUACGACCUGGAGCACAAUAUGUUGGUGUUCGUGCCCGCGCGCUGCGACAAGCUGUGA
rnacentral:rRNA from 1 species